ACUCAAUGAGGUGCACCUGGCCUGCAAGGGAAAUGUUCAUAAAGGCACCCUUGCCAGCACCUGAAGGUAGAGUCUUCUGGAGUGGAGAAUGCUGGUGUUGAUGCCGCUCAGCCUGAUUACACCCUCGAGUACCAUGCAUGGGCCUGAUGGAGAAUGAUGCAGUGCCUUAGGAAGGUUCUUUGUCAGAGGCACAAGAUGAAAGAAGGUGAGCACAUGAGGAGGUGCCAGAAGAAAGGCUUCGAUGAAACAGCUGUAGGAAAUGG